CAGAGGAGCAGUUCUUUCUGGCUGCAAUGAACUGGGUGGGCUCCCUCCAUGCGGCAGCUGAGUUUCCUUUGCGUACAAGCCCUGCAGGUUCCCUGAUGAGAUGGACUACAUUAAUUUGUCAUGUGUUAUUAGGAAAAUCCUGACAAAGAUCAAGACCACGCUGUGAAUGUUUGAUGGGCACCUGUCUGUGUAUUUUUUCUAAUUGGCCAAGAGUUCCUCUGCUGGAUAUGUAUUUUAAACUGCUAUAAAAUCAGUCCCCACUCAACUAUUUCAUGCUAAUAAACAUCCCAAAGGAUGUCAUUGAAUGAACUGAAGUAAUUUGGGAUACUACUAACGCAAUUACUCUGCUGAGAUUAUUCCAGUUUUACAUCCACUUAUGAAAAUACAGCAGGAAUCUGUCCACUGGGCAGAAGGAAGAAAACGGGCAUCAGUUUAGAUUGUUUCUGCCAGGAAAUAUAUAAUAAUUGUGUCAUUCUUGAGAAAACUCUGCAGCAGCAGGCUCAGACAGCUACAAAGUAGAGCACAUGCAUGGAUUUGUCAUCCUGCCUUAUUCUUAAACAACAUUGGCUUCUUUGUCAAUUGUGAGGAAACAAGGGGGAAAACCCCUUGGAGGUGAGCCACACAUUUAUUUGUUCCUGAGCUCGGAUAGCAGUGUUGGCUGCAACACAAUCUUUUCUUUUUUUUUCUUUUUAGAAAGAAGAGGUGAGCAUCUGUGCAACUUCUUCAGAAAAGUCAACAGAUACGUUUGACAAAUGCAUUUUCUUGACAGAUGUUGACUUGCGACAUCCAAGGACAGGAUGCAUGUGACUGCGUAAAUCCAGUGUUCAUGACAGAUCAUGAGUGCUGCUACCUGUCCCCUCCAGCUCCACUUCUGGUAUGAAGCAGCCAUCAGGUGUAGGAGUGAUGUGUGGGCUGGAGGUGCCCCACCACACUACGGACACAGAAUGAAGCAAACCUUGGUGACUAGGUGUCCAUAUGUCUGCAACAGGGAACCCGGCCAGCUCGCAGAAACUGCCUUUCCUCCAAGAACUGCAUAUUGAGGCAAAUUCCCAGCUUAUUAAAAAAUAGUUCUGUUAUUUUGCCAUCUUGUUUGUUCUGCAAUUCCACUGUAUUUUUCCCCUCUCUUUUUUUCAUUUAGCCUCAGGCUUUUUUUUUGGGAAAAAAAGGAAAUGGAAAAGAAAAAAAAAAAACCAAACCCCAAGAAAUUCUUAAAUAUAUAUUUAUUUUGGGCUUCUUAGCAUCACAGAAAAAGCCAGUGUCCCUUCCAAACUUGUAUAGGAAUUAAUAGGGAGAUCCCAAUAUUCAGAUGCUAUUUGCCCAGUGAAGAGCUGUUUGCAUGAAGAAGCUUAUAGAAGCUUCCAA